GCAGGUGUAAACGAGUAUGAGUGUGUAGGAAAUAAGAAAACUGGAGCUCCAACACCACCUCCAAGAAGAAAACUUCUUACCAGACAAACCAACACUGACACUGGCUCCAACAUAUACAAUAAAAGUAUAAAGUGAGAACAGCUGAUCUCAAUUACAUAUCUUCAGUUGGCUCUGGACUUCACCCAUCAAGUUUUACACCU